AGAGUUUGAUCCUGGCUCAGAACAAACGCCGGCGGCGUGUCUUAAGCAUGCAAGUCGAGCGGCAAGGGCAGCAAUGCCCCUAGAGCGGCGGACUGGUGAGUAACGCGUGGGUGAUCUACCUUUGGCAUGGGGAUAGCCAUUAGAAAUAGUGGGUAAUACCGAAUACGUUCGUCACCGUGAGGGUGACGAGGAAAGGUGCUACGGCACCGGCCGGAGAUGAGCCUGCGUCCGAUUAGCUAGUUGGUGAGGUAAAGGCCCACCAAGGCUAUGAUCGGUAGGCGGCCUGAGAGGGUGUACGCCCACAUUGGGACUGAGAUACGGCCCAAACUCCUACGGGAGGCAGCAGCUAAGAAUAUUCCGCAAUGGACGAAAGUCUGACGGAGCGACGCCGCGUGGAUGAUGAAGGCCGAAAGGUUGUAAAGUCCUUUUGCUGGGGAAGAAUAAGUCUGGGAGGGAAUGCCCGGAUGAUGUCAUGAACCGGCGAAUAAGCCCCGGCUAGCUACGUGCCAGCCGCCGCGGU
rnacentral:rRNA from 1 species